rnacentral:rRNA from 1 species
GUUAAUCGGAAUUACUGGGCGUAAAGUGUGCGCAGGCGGCAGAGCAAGUCGAGUGUGAAAGCCCCGGGCUUAACUUGGGAAUUGCGCUCGAAACUACUUUGCUGGAGUGUGGCAGAGGAAGGUGGAAUUCCACGUGUAGCGGUGAAAUGCGUAGAGAUGUGGAGGAACACCAAUGGCGAAGGCAGCCUUCUGGGCCAACACUGACGCUCAUGCACGAAAGCGUGGGGAGCAAACAGG